UAAAAUCGUAUUGGUCCCCUCAGUUCAGCGCCAUCAGGCAAUGGCGAACGGUGUUAAUCGUUCUUGUCAUUAUCGAGAUCUCAAUUAUUCGAAAUAUUUAAAGCCGGGGGGGGGUAUUCGUGCAAGGCGACACGAGUGUUUGCGCGUAUCAACGAUUCACGUGUACAAGUUAAAGGAAUUCUAACCUAAAUAAUAAAAGGAAAAAAACGUUAGUAGGACAUAGAGGAAUUGUUUGCGAUCGGCUUCCCGGAUGAUCUACCAGUGAGAGCCAACAUGGCGUCAACCGAUCUGUCGUUCGGUUCGAUACCACCAUUCUACAGAGAAGUUUACGAGAAGAUCUGUUCACCAACGUGUGGUAACGUCGAACGUGAAGUUUUUAAAUCCCUUCUCGUGAAAUCUCAGCUGAGCAGCUCAAUUCUCAGUCAGAUAUGGGAACUCGUGGACAGCAAGACGGGUUAUCUAACGAGAAGCGGAUUGUACAAGGGUCUUGCUCUCGUAGCUUUUGCUCAACAAGGAAAACAACCGAGCGACAAACUUCUCGAAAAUUCCGAAUCUCAAGAAUUGCCCGUCCCGAUUCUUGGCGAUUUAACGGAGGUCACGUUGUUAGCUCAAAGACUGCACCGAGGUAACAAUCCAGCGAAACUGAAUCUCACAUACACGGACAUAUGCAAUUUAGAUUCGAUAGAGGUCAACUUGGUACCGGAGAAGAAAGGUAUCUUCUUAAAGCACGUGGAAUAUCAAGUUACGAGCAAGAGAUUUAAUUCGGUAGUUUGUAGAAGAUACAAUGACUUUGUAUCGUUACACGAACUUCUUCUCGCGAGGUUCCCAUAUAGAUUGAUACCGAAAUUACCACCAAAAAAGAUGGUAGGAGCCAAUUCACAAUUUUUGGAAGAACGAAGACGAUCUCUUUUGAGGUUUCUGACAUUGAUCGCACGUCAUCCGGUUGUUAACAAGGAUCCAAUCGUACAUUUCUUCUUAACUUAUGCAGGCGAGGAAACCCAGCACAAGAUACGCGAAGUUUUCCGACGAGUAUUGGACGAAUUCGCAACGUCCGAAUUAUCAUCGAGGGCUAAGGAAUUAGUACCACCCGAAACUCUUACCGAAUUUGCUAACAGUAGAGAUCAGAUAAGAGUAAUACUAUUAGGUAUAACACGUUUGAAGAAUAUAGCUGAUUGUCUGGCUAUCAGAACUCACACUUACGCAGUAGACAUGGAAGAAUUGGGAACUCAAUUGAACACUUUGGCAUGCGAACCACAUGGUGCUAGUUCUUGGGUUACCGGUGGUUCCACGUUAUGGCAGGAUUUAAAAAAAGGUUUCCAUGUCAUUUCAAAAGAAUUUAAUAUUUUAUCGACUAAAGCAUUGCAACAAGCAGUCAGAGAAGAGACUAUUAUAUGCGAGAGACUGAACUUUUUAUUGGAUAUUCUCGUAGCACAUAGAGUAUUAUGUGAAAGACACGAACGUGGUGUUAGUGCUGAUCAUCAACGUGCGUUGUCAUCUAUGUUGUCGUUAAAAAAACGACAAUUUACUGGAGCCAUUCGUGGGACUAAUGCGGAUACAGUCGAGUAUCUGGAAAAUAAAAUGAUCGCCCAGGAGUCCGUCAUUGCUAACGUCGAAUUGAGAAAUUGUUUUUCCUUGCAUUGCUUGCACAUGGAAACGCAAUUGGUUCACGCACACUUGGAACUACUCGCAUCGGUUUUACAGAGUCUUGUUAGCGUGCAAAUAAAAGGACACUCGGAGCUUACCGAAGUGUGGAAGUCAAUUGAUUCUACAAUCGCAAAAUGCUUCCCGGGAAAAUCAGCGCACGGAGUGUUAUAGCGAACAAAGAAUUUUCUUAUGAAAAGAAAUUUCAUCUUUUAGUGAUAUCGUUUGUACAAACCAAUAAGUAACGAACAUGACUGAUAUAAAUUCAACAAAAAAAAAAAAUAACAAACAAAUCUCUCAUAAAGAUCGGAAUGAGAAGAAAAAAUAUUCGACUAGUGACCCUUUUGAGAAAGGUCGGUCUUUAAUACCUGAACACUCAUUCAAAUAUCUUCAAUCUAAACUUUCUAUCUUUACCUAAUGGGGAAAUAUUUUGUCUUUUGAAGGAUAAAAUAAAUAACAGGAAAAUCCUUAGAAAGUUUAUAUUAUAAACUUUAUUAUAUACUAUAAUACAACUAUUAUAUCAUAAAUUAUCAUUUAGGAAUUAUGUUCGUUUGCAAAAAAGAUGGAAAAUGAUCGGUCAUUUUUCUAAUAUCCGAAAACUUUCCUGUUAAUUAGGAUAAAAUAGAAUCUAUUAUACAAUUUAUUUCAUUUUACAACAACCAACGUCUCGAUACAAUUGCAAAAGACGAUCUUCAUACAAUAUUCAAGAGAGAAA
rnacentral:misc_RNA from 1 species